rnacentral:SRP_RNA from 1 species
GGAUGGACUACGAAGUCCCGAACUGGGCCGAAAAGGAGCAGGCAAAAGCCAUCCGCGACUGGUCAGAAGUGG